GUGCUCGUGGGCCUCCCCUGUCGCCCUGAAUGUCCAGUAUGCCCCCCGAGACGUGAGGGUCCGGAAAAUCAAGCCCCUUUCCGAGAUUCACUCUGGAAACUCGGUCAGCCUCCAAUGUGACUUCUCAAGCAGCCACCCCAAAGAAGUCCAGUUCUUCUGGGAGAAAAAUGGCAGGCUUCUGGGGAAAGAAAGCCGGCUGAAUUUUGACUCCAUCUCCCCAGAAGAUGCUGGGAGUUACAGCUGCUGGGUGAACAACUCCAUAGGACAGACAGCGUCCAAGGCCUGGACACUCGAAGUGCUGUGUGAGUGAGGGCCGGAGGCUGGGAGUGGAGCAGAGAAGGGACCAGUGGCCUGCCUGGUAGUGACUUCGCACCCCCUCCCCCUGCCCGCCAUGCAGAUGCACCCAGGAGGCUGCGUGUGUCCAUGAGCCCGGGGGACCAAGUGAUGGAGGGGAAGAGUGCAACCCUGACCUGUGAGAGCGACGCCAACCCUCCCGUCUCCCACUACACCUGGUUUGACUGGAAUAACCAAAGCCUCCCCUACCACAGCCAGAAGCUGAGAUUGGAGCCGGUGAAGGUC
rnacentral:sRNA from 1 species